rnacentral:lncRNA from 1 species
GAGCAUUUGGUGGAGGAGGUGGCAUACCCGGACGAAAGACAGGAGCACCAGGUGGAGGAGGCAUCCCAGGACGAGGAGGAGGUGCGUUGGGCAUCCCUGGCCUUGGCGGGCCAGAUGGAGGUCCUCUCAUCAUUGGCCCAGGCGGCGGCGGGACCAUAGGUCUCUGCCCAAACUGCUGAGGCGGCAUAGGGAACUGCUGAGGUGGCCUCACACCAAAACCCUGU